UACGGAGGGUGCGAGCGUUGUCCGGAAUCACUGGGCGUAAAGGGCGCGUAGGUGGCCUGUGGAAGUCUGCGGUGAAAGCCCGGCGCUCAACGCCGAGUCGGCCGUGCGAACUGGGCUCACUGGAGCAUAGUAGAGGCAGGUGGAAUUCCGGGUGUAGCGGUGGAAUGCGUAGAGAUCCGGAAGAACACCGGUGGCGAAGGCGGCCUGCUGGGCUAUGGCUGACACUGAGGCGCGACAGCGUGGGGAGCAAACAGG
rnacentral:rRNA from 1 species